CGAAUACAGAUGCAGAAAUAUACUUGAGUUCAUAAAUCCCUAUAUAGUAGCUUACCGUUACAUACCUGGAUCAUGCAGGCAACGGAAUGAAUUUUAAGAUUGUUGAACAGACCGCAUAAAAUGGCAAUAUAUACAAUGCCAAAAUUUGGCUCUCUUUAUUUAUUCAUUUACUUGUUCUUCGUCAGUCUCUCUAGUAUAUUUAUAUACAUACAUGCAUAUACAGUAUUGAACCUUGAUCAUAUUGGCAUCCGAUGAUCAUCAUGUACUCCCUGAUAAAUGAUACAAGUUAUAAUUUGAACUGAUUUUUCAGAAAGAUCAGGGCUAUUCAUUGCUCUGUUAUACCCCUCCUUUCACCAUAUGCCAAUCAGAACACUGAUUUAGCUGGGAAUCACAUCAGCACUGGCAACUUUAGGAAAGAACAUGAGCAUCCCAAGGAUUCUCUACAGAAUAUAGAUGAACCUCUAUUGCUAUGCCCAUUUAGUAAUAUGUCUACUAGGUCCAUGGAUUCAGCGCUUCCUUCUCCUGCUAAGUGGAUGUUCACGAGACAAAUCACCACAAAUAAUCCAGGGAGACAAGUUGUCUUCUCCUAAAUUGCGGGACAUGCUCCCACUCCCACUGAUGCAGAUGGAGAGCACGGUUCCCAGGCGGAAACUACUCCUUAAAUUGUGCAGGAUGGAGACUUAUUCAGCUGCUAGAAUUCUUAUCAGCUCUUAUCUAUUUAUUUCAAAAUUAUGUUGCUAAGUUGUUAAUUCUUUCCUAAUUUAUUUCGGUAAGACUGUGUUGCUAUGUUGGCAAUCCUUUCCUAGUUUAAUUCAUGAUUUAUAGCACCCUAUGUAAUCCUUUAAAUAUGGUAGUGAUAGAGGAAAAAGGCAGUUAUUGAUUUUUUUUUUUACACUAUUGAAUUUGAGAAUGAAGAGAUUACAUUAA